rnacentral:rRNA from 1 species
GAUGAACGCUGGCGGCGUGCCUAACACAUGCAAGUCGAACGAACACACAAGGAGCUCGCUCUUUUGACGUUAGCGGCGGACGGGUGAGUAACACGUGGAUAACCUUCCAAUAAGACGGGGAUAACAUCGGGAAACCGCUUCUAAUACCGCAUAAUACAUCGAACCGCAUGGAUCAAGGGAGAAUCGCGGCUUUGCCGUCUCUUAUAGACGGUGCCGGGUCGGAUUAGCUAGUUGGUAAGGUAACGGCGUACCAAGGCGACGAAACGUAGCCGACCUGAGAGGGUGAUCGGCCACACUGGAACUGAGACACGGUCCAGACUCCUACGGGAGGCAGCAGUAGGGAAUAUUCCGCAAUGGGCGAAAGCCUGACGGAGCAACGCCGCGUGAGUGAAGAAGGUCUUCGGAUCGUAAAACUCUGUUGUCAGGGAAGAACAGAUGCGUGAGUAACUGUGCACGUCUUGACGGUACCUAAACAGAAAGCCACGGCUAACUACGUG